UCUCUCUCCAAACCCUAUUCAUUUCAUUCAGCCGCUCUUUCAUCCUCUCUCUGCAACCCUAAUCUUCUUCAUUCAACCCUCAUCUUCCUUGGUUCUCCUUCUCACUCUCUCUCUCUCUCAAACAGGGAAGAGGACUCAAACCGUAUACACAAAUCUCAGAACGAGUUAACCAGAUGAAGAUGGAGUGAGGAAGAUGAAGAUGACAAUACUUUGUAGAUCUGAGUUUUCUAGCUACAUUCAGUAGUUUUACAUUCAGAUCUGAGUCUUUUACAUUAAAAUCUGAUGGGUUUGCAUUCAGAUCUGACUGCUUCUACAGAUAAACUGAAAAUAAUGUUUUUGUGCAAGUGUGAAGUCACUUUGAACUGUUUAUCUUAUAAAUCUUGCCUUUUUUAUUUCCAAGAUUACACGGUAAGAUAAUGCACCAGGUGGGUGUGGAAGAUUUCACCAGAUCUGUUUGGAUUUUGCUCUCAUCGGCGACUGUAAAUGGUGGUUGUUUGGUUAAGCUAGCGAUUCCGACUACUUGACAAACUUUAAGGAAGCAAUCUGCUAAAGCUUUAUUUGAGCAUUUCACGAGGUUUCAUGGUUGAGGAGCGAAAGGAGCUCGCUUCACGAGUUGGAAACGAUCUUGGGAAUGUUUAUGUGUUUCCGAAAGCGAAUAUGGUUACAUAUACAGGACCCACAAUGGUGUCAAACACUCUUCACGCUUGUGCUAUACUUCUUAAGAAAUUUAAGGAUUGGGAUUGGUUUAUAAACCUAAGUGCCUCGGAUUAUCCUCUCGUGACUCAAGACGAUCUUCUUUUCACAUUUCGUGAUUUGAAGCGCGAUGUCAAUUUUAUCGAACACACGAGCAAGUUAGGGUGGAAAGAGUAAGCAUUCACACUUCUACCAUAAGAAACUUAUAAGUUAUAACCACUGUACCUGACCAGCAAGUUCAGUUGCUAUGUGUAAUGUGUUGAAUUGGCCCCUUUUUUGCGAGUGGCGGUUGAACUGGUGACCCGGUUUACUGGUUGGACCGGUUUUGAUUAGAUAAUAAGACCGGUUUGCAUAUGGGGUUGGGAUAAUCUUCCAAGAACUCUACUCAUGUACUACACAAACUUCGUCUCAUCACCCGAAGGUUACUUUCAAAUGGUUAUUUGCAAUGUACCUGAAUUCGUCCCAACCGUGGUUAACGACAACAUGCACUUUGUAUACUGGAGAAUCAUGCAGCUUGCUGCGCGCGCAGACUGACUCUAUCGAUCUUUAUCAAGUGCACUGGCCUGACCGUUAUGUUCCGAUGUUUGGGGAAACUGAUUAUGAUCCUGCCAGUCAAUAUUAUUUCAUACAAUUUCUAGGAAGAGUAGUUGAUGCUGAUUCAUUGGUGUCAGCAAUGAAACGCCAUACGGGGUCAUGAAGUUCCUACAAGCUGCUGAAAAGAAUCCGGCUUAUCCAAGGAUAAUAUCCGUUCAGUAUUGUAGAAUUCAUACAACUUGCUCUGUCGAAAUUUUGAUUCGGGGUUGGCAGAAUGCUGUCACUUGGAGAGGUAUGUUUGCAUACUGUAAAAUAUAGGGGCGACAAUCGUGGCCCAUUCUUCAAUGAAUUGUUUGCGUAUCUGUUACCUGACGGUGGUGCAGUCGAUGCUCGUUUGAAUCUCUUCAGAGGCAGGUAUUCGGAAGGGGAAUCCAGAUACAGCUUCUCAAAUUCACAAUUAGAGAAGCUAUUAAAGGAAUUCCAAUCUUUUUAUUACAUUACAUUACAUCUGAUGUAACAUACUAUAUGAUAUUGAGCUUAUAUGUUACAUUUGGUGGUUAAAUACAUAUCAGUUUCUUUUUUCUGUUGAUGGUCAAAUAUGUUGCAUUACUUUCUGAUCCAACAAAAUUCUGCAGGCAUACAUUUCCAUUGCAGAACGUUAUGAUAUCCAUCCGGGGUCUCUUGCAAUAGGUAUGCACUAGAAAAACUACUAAAGGGGUGCUUAUUUUAAAUGGAUGAGAAACUAUGCUUAUCUGCUUAAUUUUGAUGAGAGAAGUUGUCUUCGUGAUGUAUUUAAAGUUACAAGUUUAGCCUAAGCUCAAGCUUUAGUGUAGCUCGUUUCGAGCUCUAUGUCUAAAGCUUGAGCUCGGCUUGUUAAUAAAUAAAAAAAUAUACAAUUAUUUUAAAAAUGUAGCUUUAAGUUUAUAUUGAACUUCCUGGUUUGCUCUAACAUAUAUCAACAAGCUACCCAAACUGGUGUGCCGAUCUAUUUUCUGGCUUUAAUGGUAAUUUUCAAGGAAAAAGCUCACUCUUUUGUGACCAAAAAAUUGUUAUUUUAAUAUACUUGUAUAUCUUGUACUGUUAUGAAACCGAAAUCAGAUCUCAUAUGAGCUUUUUCAAGAGCUUCUUCUGAGCUUGUUUUUUUUAUCCAAAAUAUAGUUUCCACUCAUACCAAAUGUGAGGAUAAUGACUAUUGAAAGUCCAGCUUAUGGGUUAGGUUGGGUUGGGACUAACUAAAUAUAGAUUUUUUGGGAUUUUAAAAUUGGAAUUUGAAAGCCUCUUGUAACUAUGCAAAAAAUUAGGUCUCAUGAAGUGAUUUAGGUUCAAGCAUCUUUACAAUGUCUUCUUCUGUAAUGGGUUGAAAUUCAAAUACACUCAACCAACAAUUCAAUUUAGGGUGAAAUCAAAAGCUUUAUUAAUACUUCAGCAUAGAGGAAAUUACAGGAAGUUAAAAAUCAAUUAAGAUGGGAAAUUUAGAGAAGAUCGAGGUGAGAUGAGAGAGACCCUUCACACACAACUUUCAUAACCAACUUGAUACCUCCUUUCUUUAUUUAUCCUUCACGCUAUUGAUGCUCCCCUUAGAAUUAGUAAUCUGGUGUUGCAUAGACAUCAUGCCCUCAAUGAUUACAACAAGCUCGGAUGUCACAUCACGGCAUAUACACUAUUGGUAACACUAUUGGCUUGAAUCCCCUUGCAACUACGACUUGUAGGCAUUCACAGCUCUUAAUCAAUCCCAAAGCAACUUGUGAACAAUCCCGUCGUGGUAAGACGCCGUGUUUCUCAUUUCCAUGAGAGCACUGAUAAACUAACGAGUACCCCUUUGUAAAUUGUCGCUGUCGCCGCAUCGCGCGGGUUUCCUGAUAUAAUAUAACAUUACUAAACCUAAUAGUUUUAUCAAUCCAUUUCUGGUCUCAUACUCGAAUGCCCUAUCCAUUGCCUGUUUGGAUGUUUCAUGCUUCAGGUAUUUAGCAUCAAUAAACGUAAGAAAUUUAUUAACAUCUUACGUAAGACCAAACUUUUUUACAAUAUACAAUAUAUCACGAGAAAACUGAUAAAUUAACUGGAAAACGAGAACCGUCCCGUACAUAGCCCUAAACUCAUCAACCUAAGUGAUAUGUUUCCCGCUGCAUCGCGCGGGUAAACGACUAGUAUAUAUAUAUAUAUAUAUAUAUGUAUAUAUGUGUGUAGGGACAUGUGUUAGUAGAAGACUUCUCUCUCUCUCCUCUUUCAUACAUUCAUUGGGUAAAAAUGGAGGUGCAUGCAUCAACACAACUUCCAAUCUCUUCUAUAAAUCAAGAAAAUAAUUUGAGACAAUCAAUUCUCACACUCUCUCUCUUGUUCACGGCUGCACACACACUACGCACACCAAAAUUCGGAAUUUCAACCAAGUUCUUGCAUGUUCAUACUCAUUACAAGGUGUUUAUGAGUCCAAAUGGUGAUCUAGAAGUGAUUUCAAGGUGUUUCAAGCCACAAUCAAGUCCAAUAUCACCAAAUUUUACUAAAAAUCAUUUAAGAACUUGAAGGUACUUGAGUUCGGCUUCGGGAAUUAUGGCGUAUCUUGUGGAUGUUGAUGCAUGUUUUGUUACUUAAUAAUGUUGGACUAACUUUUAAAACUUCUGGGACGAAUGUA